CAAAGUUCUUCACACAUGUUAGAGGUGAAAUCAAGUCAUAUUUUGUUACAGGCUUCAGUUAAGAGUUGUUUGUGUUUUGCUACAGGUUUCAGCUAUUGACUUGGAUGUUAUUGAAGUAGACCCUGAUACUACUGAGAUGUUGAAACAAAUGGAUAUGGAAAAGAUCCCAGGCUUGCAGGUUACACCUUUACUUCCUUUCCAUGGUGGACCUCGUGCAUAAACUCUGUUAGUUUUCAAUAAAGAUUUGAGUUACUGAAUGAA